UGAGAGAAAAGCCCUUACCUCACUAUCUCUCUCCUGCUUCAUUCAAAUCGUCUCUUCUUCCUCCGGUUCCGAGAUCUCUAUUCCGACGUUUUCUAACCUCCUCUCCGUUCCAUCGACCUCAACCUCCGAUCCCAUGAUCAAGAUGUGGCAGAAGCUUAUUCACCUUCAGUCUCUAGGGUUUCCGACGCCAAAUUAUCCACCGCUAUCUCUCAGGACUUGAACUUCGAUAUCGAAGAACCCGAUGCCAAUUCUACACCUGCGAUUCCUGGCCUAUUCGUGUCUGCUUCUGAAGCUGGAGCGCUCUCUGGUUUGGCUACAGAUCGAGGCGUUAAGCAAAUGAAAGUAAUUGAGCAGGUUGGCGAUGGAGGAUACAGAUGACAAGGAGAUGAUUGGGAUAGCGACAGCGAAGACAAUCAUCAGAUAGUGGUGAAUGACAACUUCAUGAUCGGAUCUGACAGAAGGUCAAGAAUGGGAGUUAACAACGAAGAUGAUGAAGAACCACUUGUUAUAGUGGCUGACACGGAUCCAAAUCAACCUAUGGAGGAGAAGCUUUGAGGAGACGAUUGGUCUUCAAGCGGUGGGUAUCAUCCAUUUAAUUCUCAGUUUAAGGUUUACUAUGUCGAGAAGGCGACAACUAGGCAAGUAGAAUCUGCUUGUUGGAGAAGGUUCGUAAACAGAUUAUCAAGAUUCAAAAUCUCUACUGAAAUCAAACAUUCCUAUGACCACAACACCCAAAGAUUCGUUAGAGCUUUGAUCUAUUUUGGUUAACCAAAGAGGACUCCCAAGGCCAGUAUUGCCAGCAAAGAAAGGCCAAGAUUAGCAGAUGUGGCAAUGGUGCCUGAAUGAGGAGGGGCAUGUGGCG